rnacentral:sRNA from 1 species
UCAGAUGGGAAACACAAGGAAACGUGAAGUUAGUUAUGCUCUUUACUGUGUUUCCAUUGGAACUCGAAAAGAGUCUUUUUCUUUCUUCUGGGUGAUCUUUGCCCAACCUCUUUCCUCCUCUGCCUACUGCCCAGAAAAGGAUAAAAAAGCAUCUCUCUUCGUGGCGCCCUCUAGAGGUUAGAACAGGACGAUUGUCCUGUGCAGUUAUCUGUGCAUGAGAUGCUUGUGUCACUUUAAUCAGUGACUUGUGCAUGGAAUCUUGGGAAUUGAGGAGAGCAGUUUAAGCGCUGUGAGAAAUUCUUUACUGGGUUACGAGGUUGCUUGUAGUGCAUAGGAGACAAAUAAAAACGGUUCACAAUCAACAGUUACUUCUAAUCCAGCUCACCAAAAAAAACCCCUAAAACCUAGAGUGCACUGCCAGCUCCCACUGUCUUGGCAAUAUGUUUAGAAAGCAGUUAAAUUGCUUGUGUAAUGUAUAACCCUUUGUUUCACCCGGAGGCAUUGACAUCAGUUGUCACAACGAUGGUGGUCUGCACAUCAUAGCUAGGUAGCAACAGCUUUGGCCCGUCUAUACAGAGACGAGGUAUUUUUACAUGCAUCCCAAACUCUGCAGAGAAGGAUGAAGAGCUGGGAGGAGAUUGAAAGGCCAGGGGGUGGGAGAAGCACUAGAAAGAAAGGGGGAUGCUAAGAAAGAAAAGAAAAAAAUCUCAAACGACUCUUGCUAUUGUAUGAACGUAAAAUACUGUUUACGUUAGACAUGCCAAAUGAUAAAGCAAUUAAAAUAUCAUCAUGUUCUGAAAUAGAAAGACAUUUUAUCUUUGUUUUCUGCUGAUUCAGCUUAUGGAGGUUCAAUGUGGUCCCUAGCAUCUGCUUUGCCCACAAGUAGUCUAGGGAUGUCUGUCUCGGAAUCGAAGCAUCUGAAAUGAUCUAGAUCACAAACGUAAGUUCCAUAUUCUAGGAAAUGAGUGGGCAUUUUUUCUUGGCAGUCCGGUGAGUCACCCACAGCAGCACAUCUUUGUCAGACACUGAACUCUACAAUCUCUCAUCCUCUACUUACGCCUCCAAUAUUCUCACUGGCUUCGGCAAAGUGCAGUGAGAAAGUCUGAUGUGUUCAAUGGGGAAAGCCCUACAACACCAAACCUCCUUGCAGACCAGGGUCAGUAAUGGUUGAUUGUCAUGUUGAGUCCCACUACACAGCAUUUGUCACCAGCACAGUGCUGGGUGCAACUUAUCUGUCACAUCAGUCUGAGACACAAAGUUUUAGGCAUAAAAAGCUCAUUUUCAGUAAACCUUGUUUGGUUUGUUUCAUGGCUCUGAGAAAUUUGUUUGACUACAUAGCAUCCAAAGUAGAAAUAUUCAGACUCUGAGAGGUGCAUUAAUUAUACACUGGCUGGAAACGUCCGGGACCUACUGAAUCAUUUAUUUAAGAGUUAACCUUUUCGCACAUCACCAUAUGCCUGAUUUUAACUUUAAUCAUUAGAGUCAGAUGCUAAUGACCAUGAUUUAUGAAUGAGUCUCGACUUUCUGUGGAUUAUUUUGUGAUGAUGGCCUUAAUAUAGACUCCAUGCUGGUGCUUUACUGUUCUCAUCACUGGAGAUAAAUAUCAUUUGGCUGUGAUCAGAAGCUGAGAUGUAUGACCAAGAUUUGAAUGUACAGCGUCCGCACAUUUCAACCACGUGGACGGAUUGCGUGAGGAGGCUCAAAGGUGGAAUUUUGACCAUGAUUCAUUCUCCUCCCCAGUACAGUCCUCUCUAACCCGGUAGGGCAGGUUAAGUGCUGCACGUCUGUCUCACCAAAGGCCGUGGUCACUGUAGAAAGCCUUAAGCCAAAAGGAGUUCUCUGUAGUCCCUAAUCGAAUAGUCAGAAGGACAGGCUGAGGAGGAGUGCAACAUGGCUCAGAACUGUGCUGGUUGCUUUCAGGAAUUAGUAGAACGAACAGGUCAUAGGUGGUCAAAUAGAACUGAGUUGCAGAUACGUCACAAGCAGGAAUGGGCAAUUGAUCACGUUAGAAAAGCAUGGCUCCAAGGCCCUGGGUUCGGUCCCCAGCUCCGAAAAAAAGAACCAAAAGAAAAAAAAAAAAAAAAGAAAAGCAUGGCUCACACCCAUGAAUCCAGGCACAUCACAGACGUUUACUAAAGUGCCAAAUCCACAAAACAAAUGAGUUUUGAAUGAAAUAGAUAAUAUAUUUUUAAAAGUCAAAAAUUCCAGUUGUCUUUUGAGUUCCAUGAUUGACAUUUGAUUAGUUUAGGAUAUAGGACCUGCUCUUUUCAAAUUAAAUUCUAGGUGUAAAACUGUGUUCUGGUUGGUUUGGGAACUUGACUAUUUAAGCCAUUUCCAAUACAACUUUUUCCUGACUAUGUUGGUGUGAAAAAUUUCAUGUGUUAUAUAAAUAUCAUGGCUGUCUCUAAUAACCAGCCAAGGCUCAGAGAUUAGGAAGGUCUGUUGACUCUCCUACAGAACCAGAAGACUGAAAAAUAUCAGUGACAGGUGGUUCACCUGAAUUAGCUUUUGCAGGAAAGUUGUCUACUUAAUUAAAAUGUGUUGGGAGCAAAUGAAAACCUGCCUUUGAUGUCUGCCUCAUUUUUUACGGUCUACAGGAAGCACGCUGAUUGGUGUGGAAGAAUGACUUCAUGCCAGGUCAGGAGCCUUAUUACAACGAUGCUAUCAGAUAUUUAAGGCCUCGGGUCCCCCAACGUUGCUCCUGCCUUACACAUUAACUGGACAUGGUCCCAGCAUAAGGGACGGCUGAAGACAGCCUCCUUAAGGCCUCUGAUCCCACAUCCUUUUUCCACCCAAGCUCUGGCCAUCUGUGUCUACAGCCUGAUUUCAUUCUCCCCAGUUCCAAAGCUGCCUUUCUCUCCCCUCUGUUGCAAACCCUGCUAAGUUGGUUUGAGAGGCUUAGCAGAAAGAAGCCACCAGCCCUUACGUCAAAUUCACGGGCGUCCCCCUAACUCCCUUCAUCCUUCUUCUCAUAAUACCUCAGAGCUUAUGGGAAUGGAAACCUUGAGCUCCAUCCAGAAAUGCCCCGAGGUAGAACUGAUCCCAGGAGCAUGGCAGAAGGGGUGCUCCACAGUGAGCUGAGUUGACCUGGCUAAUGAGGAUAUAAACACACUCACUGAAUGGGUGGAUGGAGGACGACUCAUAGUCCAGGGAGUGGUGCCAUUCAGAGAAAGCAUGGCACCUAACACGGUGCUUUAAAAAUCGGUGAGCCAAUGUCCAGGGUGCUCGUCAUUGCCAUGGCAGACAUUUCUUUUCGGAGCUUCACAUUUGGACUUCAUGAUUCACAGAAUGCUCCGUCCAUGGGCAACUUGGGCUUCAAGCGACUGGGCACACGGAACGAUGAAACACAGAUUAGAAGCUACUGGGGUGAGGGGCUCCUGACAGUGCAGACGGUUGUCAUCUGCAAAGCUCAUGCUUGAGAGAUUCACAAGCUAAGAAAAUAAGUAAAGGAAGAGAGGAAAGAAAGCUUUGCCCAAAACCCUCAUGCUACUUCAAGUAAGAUCACAGUUGUGUGUUCUGGUUUCAGGUUGGGCAUCUCAGGCUAGCACGGCAGCCUCGCCUUCCCAACACCACAGAAGUCCGCACAGCUCCACGCCAACCGCAACAGGAUACUCAAAAGAGGAUUGUUGAAUGAUUUGAAAACAACGUUCUCGAACCGUUUGGAGUCUUGAGAUUGAUCGGUGUUUCAGAGGAAGACAGUCAGAAAAGCUUCUCCAGGGACUUUCAAUAAAAAGCCAAGUAGCUGCCAUUCAGCUCUUGGGAGCAGCCUCACAGAGUCCACGCCACAGAAUAUGAGGUUAAUGCCUCCUAAAUCCUGAAGGCUUUAAUGGACCAGAUCUCCCCUUACAGUGCUGGGAUAAACUCUACCCUCUGGAGCAGAUCAAAGUGCUAGUCAAUUCUGAAAGAAUAUUCUUUGUAUAACAAGAAAUGUCCAUUUGAGAAAGAGGAGUAACCAUAAGGCUUCACUUGAUACAGUAGGGCCUUGUGAAAAUUGGAUUCACCAGACUCCUAGACAUAUCCAAGCAGAGAUCUUUGGCUGCAGUCCCUCCAAUGAACCAGAGGAAUUUGUUAUGUAAGGGACUCAAACAGCGAUGCAGACGGAAGAAAGCACAAACCUAACUGAACCGGUGCUGCAUUAACCACUCCUCCGUGGUAUCAAGUUACAAAAAAAAAA